GGUAAGGUCAAAGUUUGCAAAAUUAAUAAUACAAAUAGAUGAUGACGACUGGUGAUGUGAUUAGUAUGUUUCGAUGUUUUAAUCAAUUUGUCGGUAAAAACAUGUUUUGAUGCUUAAAUCGAGGUUAAAAUAACAAAAAUAUUUUAAAAUUGACUACUUUAUUUAAAUAAAAUUUUAUAUUUUUAUUAUAUUCAAAUAAUUUUUGAAAUUUUAACUUAUAUUUAAAUAAAUUUUUAAUUUUUAAUUUAUAUCUAAAUAAACUCUUAAUUUUUAAUUUAUACUUAAAUAAAUUUUUAAUAUAAAUCAAUUUUUUGUUUAAAACAAAGACUUAUAUAUUUGGAUACAGAUAAAAAAUAAAAAAUUAUUUGAUUACAAUAAAAAUAUAAAAAUUUAAUUAAAAAAUAAAAUAAUUGAUAGUUUGGAGUUUUUUUUAAAUAUUUUAAUUUUAAAUGAAUAAUGUGUUUGAGGAUAAAGAAAGAAGAAAAAAAGUACAAGAAAAUAGAAAGAAUGUAAAGAAUAACUGCAUGUUUAAUUUGAUUUUUUUAUAUAUUAUAUGUGAUGAUAUGAUUAUUAAAUAUACGAUUAUCUGUUUUAAAAUUAUAUAUCUUAUAAGUGCUAAUGUGAUUAAUCAAAUAUAUGAUCGUAUAUACUAAAAACAUGAGUUUAAAACAUGAGUUUUUUCCCACAAAAAGAGUACAUUAAAAUCUUUAUUCUUAAAUAGGGAUAGUUUUAAUCUUUUUUCAUUGAUUAAGGUGUUUUCAACUAACCAAUGCCAUAUCAUUGCUUACGUGGUCAAUAUUGAUUAAAUGGCAGUUGAGUUUAUUUCUUAUUAUUUUUUUU
rnacentral:lncRNA from 1 species